CUUGACAUCCAGCGAACUUUCCAGAGAUGGAUUGGUGCCUUCGGGAACGCUGAGACAGGUGCUGCAUGGCUGUCGUCAGCUCGUGUUGCGAAAUGUUGGGUUAAGUCCCGCAACGAGCGCAACCCUUAUCCUUUGUUGCCAGCGAUUCGGUCGGGAACUCAAAGGAGACUGCCGGUGAUAAACCGGAGGAAGGUGGGGAUGACGUCAAGUCAUCAUGGCCCUUACGAGUAGGGCUACACACGUGCUACAAUGGCGCAUACAAAGAGAAGCGACCUCGCGAGAGCAAGCGGACCUCAUAAAGUGCGUCGUAGUCCGGAUCGGAGUCUGCAACUCGACUCCGUGAAGUCGGAAUCGCUAGUAAUCGUGGAUCAGAAUGCCACGGUGAAUACGUUCCCGGGCCUUGUACACACCGCCCGUCACACCAUGGGAGUGGGUUGCAAAAGAAGUAGGUAGCUUAACCCUCGGGAGGGCGCUUACCACUUUGUGAUUCAUGACUGGGGUGAAGUCGUAACAAGGUAGGCGUAGCGAG
rnacentral:rRNA from 1 species